UACGUAGGGCGCAAGCGUUAUCCGGAAUUAUUGGGCGUAAAGAGCUCGUAGGCGGUUUGUCGCGUCUGCCGUGAAAGUCCGGGGCACAACUCCGGAUCUGCGGUGGGUACGGGCAGACUAGAGUGAUGUAGGGGAGACUGGAAUUCCUGGUGUAGCGGUGAAAUGCGCAGAUAUCAGGAGGAACACCGAUGGCGAAGGCAGGUCUCUGGGCAUUAACUGACGCUGAGGAGCGAAAGCAUGGGGAGCGAACAGG
rnacentral:rRNA from 1 species